GACGAACGCUGGCGGCGUGCUUAACACAUGCAAGUCGAACGGUGAACCAGAGCUUGCUCUGGGGAUCAGUGGCGAACGGGUGAGUAACACGUGGGCAACCUGCCCCAGACUCUGGGAUAACCCCGGGAAACCGGAGCUAAUACCGGAUAUGACCACUUCGGACAUCCGAUGGUGGUGGAAAGUUUUUCGGUCUGGGAUGGGCCCGCGGCCUAUCAGCUAGUUGGUGGGGUAAUGGCCUACCAAGGCGACGACGGGUAGCCGGCCUGAGAGGGCGACCGGCCACACUGGAACUGAGACACGGUCCAGACUCCUACGGGAGGCAGCAGUGGGGAAUAUUGCACAAUGGGCGAAAGCCUGAUGCAGCGACGCCGCGUGAGGGACGACGGCCUUCGGUUGGUAAACCGUACUUUCUAGCAGGACGAAGCGAAAGUAGACUGUACCUGCAAAGAAGACACCGGCUAACUACGUGCCAGCAGCCGCGGUAAACGUGUAGUCGU
rnacentral:rRNA from 1 species